rnacentral:rRNA from 1 species
AGAGUUUGAUCCUGGCUCAGAAUGAACGCUGGCGGCGUGCUUAACACAUGCAAGUCGAACGAGAAAGUUUCUUCGGAAAUGAGUACAGUGGCGAACGGGUGAGUAACACGUAAGAAUCUGCCCUUUAGUGAAGAAUACCUUCGGGAAAUCGAAGUUAAUGCUGCAUACGUCUCUUAUGAGAGAUCAUAAAAGAGAAAGACGGCCUCUUUGCUGUCGCUAAAGGAUGAGCUUGCGUACUAUUAGCUAGUUGGUGAGGUAAUGGCUCACCAAGGCAAUGAUGGUUAGCCGGCCUGAGAGGGUGUACGGCCACAUUGGAACUGAGAUACGGUCCAGACUCCUACGGGAGGCAGCAGUGGGGAAUAUUGCACAAUGGGCGAAAGCCUGAUGCAGCGACGCCGCGUGGAGGAUGAAGGUUUUCGGAUUGUAAACUCCUGUUAAGAGGGAAGAAAAGCUCAUCAGUAAUAUGGAUGAGUGUUGACGGUACUUCUAAAGAAAGCCCCGGCUAACUUCGUGCCAGCAGCCGCGGUAAUACGAAGGGGGCAAGCGUUAUUCGGAAUUACUGGGCGUAGAGAGCGUGUAGGUGGUUAUCUAAGUCAGUUGUUAAAUAUCACGGCCUAACUGUGAGACUGCGAUUGAAACUGGAUGACUAGAGGGCAGGAGAGAGAAGUGGAAUUCUCGGAGUAGCGGUAAAAUGCGUAGAUCUCGAGAGGAACACCGAUGGCGAAGGCAGCUUCUUGGUCUGUCCCUGACACUCAAAUGCGACAGCGUGGGGAGCAAACAGGAUUAGAUACCCUGGUAGUCC